CAAAUGAGAUUAAUAAUUUCUCUUUCCUCAGUUCCUUAGAAUGAAUGUUCCAGUGCUUCAAUAAUCAAACCUUCAAUAAUCCAGCGAAACAAUUUGUAGAAAUUGCAACGCAGAUAUCAACAGAAGAAAAAUUUUCACCGGAUGAUGACCGGAUGGCCUACAUCAUAGGAUUUCAACACGAAAACAGCACGUGGAUAACAAAACAAAAGUUCCUUAGAAUGAAUGUUCCAGUGCUUCAAUAAUCAAACCUUCAAUAAUCCAGUGAAACAAUUUGUAGAAAUUGCAACGCAGAUAUCAACAGAAGAAAA